rnacentral:rRNA from 1 species
GAUGAACGCUGGCGGCGUGCCUAAUACAUGCAAGUCGAGCGAACGGACGAGAAGCUUGCUUUUCUGAUGUUAGCGGCGGACGGGUGAGUAACACGUGGAUAACCUACCUAUAAGACUGGGAUAACUUCGGGAAACCGGAGCUAAUACCGGAUAAUAUUUUGAACCGCAUGGUUCAAAAGUGAAAGACGGUCUUGCUGUCACUUAUAGAUGGAUCCGCGCUGCAUUAGCUAGUUGGUAAGGUAACGGCUUACCAAGGCAACGAUGCAUAGCCGACCUGAGAGGGUGAUCGGCCACACUGGAACUGAGACACGGUCCAGACUCAUACGGGAGGCAGCAGUAGGGAAUCUUCCGCUAUGGGCGAAAGCCUGACGGAGCAACGCCGCGUGAGUGAUGAAGGUCUUCGGAUCGUAAAACUCUGUUAUUAGGGAAGAACAUAUGUGUAAGUAACUGUGCACAUCUUGACGGUACCUAAUCAGAAAGCCACGGCUAACUACGUG